rnacentral:rRNA from 1 species
UUUACUAGAAUAUAGUUAUCCUACUUGGAUAACUGUGGCAAUUCUAGAGCUAAUACAUGCAAAAAAGCUCUGCCCGUAAGGAACGAGCGCAUUUAUUAGAAUAAAAACCAAUCGGGUUUCGGCCCGUAAUUUGGUGAAUCUGAAUAACUUUGCCAAUCGCACAGUCCUAGUACUGGCGAUGUAUCUUUCAAGUGUCUGCCUUAUCAACUUUCGAUGGUAGGUUAUACGCCUACCAUGGUAGUAACGGGUAACGGAGAAUAAGGGUUCGACUCCGGAGAGGGAGCCUGAGAAACGGCUACCACAUCCAAGGAAGGCAGCAGGCGCGCAAAUUACCCACUUCCAGAACGGAGAGGUAGUGACGAAAAAUAACGAGACAGUCCUCUUCGAGGUCUGUCAUCGGAAUGGGUACAAUUUAAAUCCUUUAACGAGGAUCUAUUGGAGGGCAAGUCUGGUGCCAGCAGCCGCGGUAAUUCCAGCUCCAAUAGCGUAUAUUAAAGUUGUUGCGGUUAAAACGCUUGUAGUUGGAUCUGCGGCCUCGGAGAACGGUCCCCCGAAAGGGUGGUCACUGUCUCUCCUAGCCUAAAUUCGAGUCGUCUCUAAGUGCUCUUUACCGAGUGCUUAGAGUGACUAGAACGUUUACUUUGAAAAAAUUAGAGUGCUUAAAGCAGGCGUAAUAGCCUGAAUAAGGUGCAUGGAAUAAUGGAAUAGGACCUCGGUUCUAUUUUGUUGGUUUUCGGAACCUGAGGUAAUGAUUAAGAGGAACAGACGGGGGCAU